UACGAAGGGGGCUAGCGUUGUUCGGAAUCACUGGGCGUAAAGGGCGCGUAGGCGGCUUGAUAAGUCGGGGGUGAAAGCCUGUGGCUCAACCACAGAAUUGCCUUCGAUACUGUCGAGCUUGAGACCGGAAGAGGUAAGUGGAACUGCGAGUGUAGAGGUGAAAUUCGUAGAUAUUCGCAAGAACACCAGUGGCGAAGGCGCUCACUGGCCCGGUACUGACGCUGAGGCACGAAAGCGUGGGGAGCAAACAGG
rnacentral:rRNA from 1 species